GCGGAUGUGGCGGAAUGGCAGACGCAUCAGACUCAAAAUCUGACGGGGGCAACCUCGUGAGGGUUCAAGUCCCUCCAUCCGCA
rnacentral:tRNA from 1 species